AUCCUUUUUUUUUGGGGAAAUGUCAACAUCCGGUUGCCAAAGACAAAUUACACGAGGUUGAAAAAUAACAUUAAACGCAAUGUUUCGUCAACCUAAAACAGUUUCGAUGACGGGUUGGCGUCUGGCAGCAUUUUGGGGUGUCUUUGUCGGUUCAAUUGGAGGUUUCAUGUAUGCAGUUGCCAUUUACCCAAUGAUGAACGUAGAUAAAUAUAAAGAAUUACAGAAAAAAGGAAGAGCUGGUUUGGAUAUUGAAGCUAUACAACCAGCAGAUAUGAAGGUGUGGUCAGAUCCCUUUGCGCCAUAUAAAAAGAAGAAGGAAUAAACUUUUUGAUAUUGUGAUAUUUAUUGUAUUUUAUAUGUACUAUAUAUAUGAAUUGUUUUUGUUUUUAAUAUUUUCAAUAAAAUUUGAAAAAAGAA